AAACUAAUUUAAUCUGGCGGCAUUUCAUCUAAUUAGAGGAAUUUGUCUACUAAUCGAUACUCCACGUUAAAUUUUACUUUACUUUAAAAUCUAUAUACCGCCAUCUCAAGAAUUAAUUUAAAAAUUUUCUUCCCAAUAAUUAAUAAAAAGUUAGGUCAAGGUGUAAUCUAUAUUAAAGAAUAAGAUGAAUUACAUUAAACAAUAUUUAAAGACUAUAUAUAUAAAUAUAAAUACAAAUAAGAAUUUAAAAGUAAUAUAAUAACAAUAAUUUUAUAUGAUAAAAACAAUAAAUGUGUACACAUCGCCC
rnacentral:rRNA from 1 species